rnacentral:rRNA from 1 species
GCCAGACUCCUACGGGAGGCAGCAGUAGGGAAUUUUGCGCAAUGGGGGAAACCCUGGCGCAGCAACACCGCGUGAAUGUUAAGCCCUUCGGGGUGUAAAGUUCUGUCAAUAGGGACGAAUUUUGACUGUACCUAUAAAGGAAGCACCGGCUAACUCCGUGCCAGCAGCCGCGGUAAUACGUAGGUGGCAAGCGUUAUCCGGAUUUACUGGGUGUAAAGGGCGUGUAGGCGGGGACGCAAGUCAGAUGUGAAAACUAUGGGCUCAACCGAUAGAGUGCAUUUGAAACUGCAGUUCUUGAGUGAUGGAGAGGCAGGCGGAAUUCCUAGUGUAGCGGUGAAAUGCGUAGAUAUUAGGAGGAACACCAGUGGCGAAGGCGGCCUGCUGGGCUUUAACUGACGCUGAGGCUCGAAAGCGUGGGGAGCAAACAGGAUUAGAUACCCCGGUA